AGAGUUUGAUCCUGGCUCAGGACGAACGCUGGCGGCGUGGAUUAGGCAUGCAAGUCGAACGGUAUGGACCUUUCGGGGUUCAGAGAGUGGCGAACGGGUGAGUAACACGUAGGUAAUCUACCCUCAAGACGGGGACAACCCAGGGAAACUUGGGCUAAUACCGGAUGUGUGUAGUGGCUAUUUUUCUGAUUAUCAUUAUUUACGUAAGUGAGUAAUAAUAAGAAGGGAAAGUGGUUAUUACAUAAAAGGUGGCGUAAGCUGCCGCUUGGGGAUGAGCCUGCGUCCUAUUAGUUAGUUGGUGAGGUAACGGCUUACCAAGGCGAUGAUAGGUAGGCGGCCUUAACGGGUGGUCGCCCACACUGGGAUUGAGAUACGGCCCAGACUCCUACGGGAGGCAGCAGUCGAGAAUAGUCUACAAUGGACGGAAGUCUGAUAGUGCGACGCCGCGUGAACGAAGAAUCCCUUCGGGGUGUAAAGUUCUUUUAUACGUGAGCAGUGUCCUUUAUAUUAAUAGUAUAAGGGGAGAGAUAUUAGCGUAUGAAUAAGCAACGGCUAACUCCGUGCCAGCAGCCGCGGUAACACGGGGGUUGCGAGCGUUGUCCGGAAUUACUAGGCGUAAAGUGCAGGUAGGCGGAUAAAUAAGUUUAAGGUUAAAGGCUACGGCUUACCCGUAGUAAGGAGUUAGAUACUGUUUAUCUGGAAUGCGGUUGAGGGAGACAGAAUUCCUGGUGUAGCGGUGGAAUGCGCAGAGAUCAGGAGGAAUACCGAAGGCGAAGGCAGUCUUCUAAGCCGAUAUUGACGCUAAACUGCGAAGGUGUGGGGAUCAAACAGGAUUAGAUACCCUGGUAGUCCACACAGUAAACGAUAAUCACUAGGUGUUGGGUUCUUAAGAGGAUUCAGUGCCGGAGCUAACGCGAUAAGUGAUUCGCCUGGGGAGUACGAUCGCAAGGUUGAAACUCAAAGGAAUUGACGG
rnacentral:rRNA from 1 species